AAUAUAAACAUGUCUGAUAAUAUUUUGGAAAUAUUUAACAAAAUCAUUGGAAAACUUAUUUCUAGAGUAAAAGUUUAAAACAGAAACAUAAAUACGCGAAGUUACAAAUAUGCGUGAACUGUUUAACACUAUUCAGAAAUAACAAACGACAAUAAAGAAGCAACAAUCCACGAUUGAAAAAUAGAAUAAUUGCGAUGAAGAACGAUUAAAGGAAAAGAACAAUAUAGAGGCGAAGAAGAAAAAAGAGCACCAAGAAAACUACAAUCAUAUCGUUUUGAAGAAUAUUCCUUAAUAAAUUUGGCUCAAAUGUACAAAGUCUAGGAUGUGCAUGAAUUAUCGAAAAUUGUUCAGAAUCUACUACAAAAUACUGUUAAGAAGCAACAAUUAAUGAUUGAAAAUAAGAAAAAUUGUGAUUAAGAACAGAAGAGCUUAAAUUAGAUGAGUGAUAUGACUACUGUUAAAAACGAUUUGAACACGUUAAUCACAAAUAUCAACGAUCUCAGAACUCAAAUGAUGUUUAUAGAAAGUACUAAGUAGUAUAGGUACUUAGUACUUACUUAAAGAUAAUAAAACUAAGUAUUAAAUUUCAACUAAGACUAACGAUCAUUUGGAAAUAUCAAAACGUCAAAUAGCAAGUUAAGCAAACUUAAGAAUAAAAUCGGAAUUCUUGAAAGUAAUUAGAAAAAUAUCAGAUAAUGGUAUAUAAUCACUAAUUAGGUAGGUGUGCAUAUGUCGUGCGUAUGUGUAAGAGAAGUGACAAAAAAUUCUGUUCAUAUUGGGAUGAAUUAUUCAUAUUAAACGUUGUUGUCGACAAGACUGAAUUUGAGAGCUGCUGUUUCAUUAGUAAAAAACAUUUUAAACGAAUCCUGUCAAAUACAUUAACGUUAUCUUCAUCAAUUACGACAAUGAGGUCAGCAUCGUCACGCCAAAUUUCGAAUCUACCUCCUUCUCCGCCACCACCAUCAUCAAUUUCGGUAGUUUUUGGAUUGGCAUCACCAUCUCCACCGAUCUUUAGUAUAAUAGUAUACCGUCAAC